rnacentral:rRNA from 1 species
UACGUAGGUGGCAAGCGUUGUCCGGAUUCACUGGGCGUAAAGCGCGCGCAGGCGGUCUUCUACGUCUGGGGUGAAAACCCGGGGCUCAACCCCGGGACUGCCUUGGAUACGGGAAGACUUGAGGAUCGGAGAGGCAAGGGGGAAUUCCACGUGUAGCGGUGAAAUGCGUAGAGAUGUGGAGGAACACCUGUGGCGAAGGCGCCUUGCUGGCCGAUUUCUGACGCUGAGGCGCGAAAGCGUGGGGAGCAAACAGG